UGAUAAAUAUCACCUUAAACAUGUACGUAGGUUUUUACUCCAGAAAGGGUUGUUUACAAGAAACACGACUUUCAGUUCCAUGGUAAAAUUUUACUUCCAUUUUCAUGGAAGUCCGCGAAUAAUGCAAAGCUGGAUAUUUCAAGAGGAUUCGCGUCAUCGACAGUGACCGCUAGGUUGCCACCACAUUUUCAGCCCGCGUAUUAUGUAAACACGCUAUCACUCCUGCUUUGUCACGUGGAUAUCAAGAUUAACAAGGAAGACAUUACGAAAUCAAGGGACAGCAGCUGAGAUAGUAAGGAUGGAUAUCAUUGGCCGUAUAUUAGCAGUCAUUUCAACUCUGAGUGUAAUAAUUAUUGGUUUUUUGCUGGAAAACAAGUUAAAACAGAUGCAUAAUGAUCACGUGUCAAUGUACACACAUAUGCUAAGUUCCAAGUCCGAGAACAUGGCGAGUUUACGCCGUAUUGAAACAGCUAUCACCAUCAUUCUCACUAAAAAGAACUAUUCGGCGUCUUUUGAUUUGACAAAUAUUACAGAGGAUCUAGUCGACAGAAUAUCUAGAAUUCUGGA